ensembl:lncRNA
GUAUGUAUACAUACCAAGUCCAUUGACUCCGAUUCUUGCCUAAGUUUUACUUGUACUUUUGCCCAGUUAGCCGUUCUGACCACACUGCAUCCCUUGGAUUCCCCGUUUAGCCUGCCUCUCGGUACCUUCGCCUGUCUACUUGAUACCUGGUGUUCCAAACCUUCUGCCUAGCCUCUGGAUUUCCCCUUCUAGCCUUCUGAUUGGUCUUGUUUUCCUUCUUCCGGAUUACCUGUUUUUGUCCUGAGUUUUUUCCUGUUGAACUGUCUCAUAAUAAACUGAGGUGCUCCGAGCUUGGAUUCUCCACAAGGCCAAUAGCAUCCAGCUGCAGCCCAGGAGACACUGCUGGCUAAAACUCCACUGGCUAAAACUCAUACUUCCGUUUCGUCACUUCCAUUUCGUCAUUCCCUGACCAACUCCUCGAAAUUUCAAACUGUUGUCACAUGACUAACCUAGUUACGUUUGGACACCUCCGUAGUUGGUGGCUGACUUUCAAUGAAGGCAAGAGAGCCAGCCUACAUUCCCUACAGGGAGCUGGCUAGCAGGGAUA